rnacentral:rRNA from 1 species
CCCGAGCGUUAUUCGGGAAUCACUGGGCGUAAAGAGUACGUAGGCGGGUUUGGUAAGUCAGGUGUGAAAUCCCGGAGCUCAACUCCGGAACUGCAUCCGAUACUGCCAGACUUGAGUAAUGGAGAGGCAGGUGGAAUUCUCGGUGUAGCAGUGAAAUGCGUGGAUAUCGAGAGGAAGACCAAUGGCGAAGGCAGCCUGCUGGACAUUUACUGACGCUGAGGUACGAAGGCCAGGGUAGCGAAAGGGAUUAGAUACCCCUGUAGUCCUGGCAGUAAACGGUGCGCGCUUGGUGUAGGAGGACUCGACCCCUUCUGUGCCGGAGCUAACGCGUUAAGCGCGCCGCCUGGGGAGUACGGUCGCAAGACUAAAACUCAAAGAAAUUGACGGGGACCCGCACAAGCGGUGGAGUAUGUGGCUUAAUUCGAUGCAACGCGAAGAACCUUACCAAGGCUUGACAUGUAUUGCUAAGCACGUGAAAGCGUGUGACCCUUCGGGGACCUUACACAGGUGCUGCAUGGCCGUCGUCAGCUCGUGUCGUGAGAUGUUUGGUUAAGUCCAGCAACGAGCGCAACCCCUGUGAAUAGUUGCCAGCACGUAAUGGUGGGGACUCUAUUCAGACUGCCCAGGUCAACUGGGAGGAAGGUGGGGAUGACGUCAGGUCAGUAUGGCCCUUACGCCUUGGGCUGCACACGUACUACAAUGCCCAGUACAAUGAGAACCGAGACCGCGAGGUGGAGGAAAUCUGCAAAACUGGGCCCAGUUCGGAUUGGAGGCUGCAACUCGCCUCCAUGAAGUUGGAAUCGCUAGUAAUGGCACAUCAGCUACGGUGCCGUGAAUACGUUCCCGGGUCUUGUACACACCGCCCGUCACAUCAUGGAAGCCGGUCGCACCCGAAGUAUCUGCGCUAACUAUUUAUAGAAGCAAG